AAACCUCUUUGUGCUGCAACAUGUAUUUCUACUGGUAGUCACCAGACACAGACCCUUUCUGCCUCUCCCUGUACACACCAAAGAGCUAAAACUACAGACUGCAUUGUAUGAAGGAGGACUGCUGCCUACCUUAGGUCUAUGCAAAUCCCACCUCCUGGGCAGUAUUUUAAAACCAGAAGCUGAAGCUGGCAGUCUUCUAUCAGACCGGUCUGUUUUAGGAUUCACAAAAGACCAGUGGAUAAUUGAAAAUGGCGAAGAACCAAACUCAGACUCCAGGCAAUUCCAAGUGAAGCUUCUCCUGAUCCUGAGCAGUAGCAUCUGUCUCCUUGAAAGCAAGUUCUGACCUAUGUUAAGAGCAUCUCCUACCAACAGAAGGAAUCCAAUUCCUUCUCCAUAUGAUGGACUUCACUCUAUGCCCAGUGACAAAUUUGGUUGAACAGGUAAGCUCCAUCACUGGAAAUG
rnacentral:lncRNA from 1 species